rnacentral:rRNA from 1 species
UACGUAGGGUGCGAGCGUUGCCCGGAUUUAUUGGGCGUAAAGAGCGCGCAGGCGGUCGAUCAAGUCGAGUGUGAAAGCCCCCGGCUCAACUGGGGAGGGUCAUUCGAUACUGAUCGACUCGAAGGCAGGAGAGGGUAGUGGAAUUCCCGGUGUAGUGGUGAAAUGCGUAGAUAUCUGGAGGAAUACCGGUGGCGAAGGCGGCAUCCUGGACCGGCAUUGACGCUGAGGAGCGAAAGCCAGGGGAGCAAACGGG